GAUGAACGCUGGCGGCGUGCCUAAUACAUGCAAGUCGAGCGAACAGACGAGGAGCUUGCUCCUCUGACGUUAGCGGCGGACGGGUGAGUAACACGUGGAUAACCUACCUAUAAGACUGGGAUAACUUCGGGAAACCGGAGCUAAUACCGGAUAAUAUAUUGAACCGCAUGGUUCAAUAGUGAAAGACGGUUUUGCUGUCACUUAUAGAUGGAUCCGCGCCGCAUUAGCUAGUUGGUAAGGUAACGGCUUACCAAGGCAACGAUGCGUAGCCGACCUGAGAGGGUGAUCGGCCACACUGGAACUGAGACACGGUCCAGACUCCUAUGGGAGGCAGCAGUAGGGAAUCUUCCGCAAAGGGCGAAAGCCUGACGGAGCAACGCCGCGUGAGUGAUGAAGGUCUUCGGAUCGUAAAACUCUGUUAUUAGGGAAGAACAAAUGUGUAAGUAACUAUGCACGUCUUGACGGUACCUAAUCAGAAAGCCACGGCUAACUACGUG
rnacentral:rRNA from 1 species